GAAUUCUAAAGUUGAGAAAAGUUUGCUGUUUUGCCUUUUAUAAAUCUGUUUGAUAAGAAAUUAUUUCUUUGAUCUGCUCCAGGAUUUGUGUACCCUUCUGCAAAAUCCAUGAACUUAAAAUUUAAGAUCACUCUUGUGUAAAAGCUCUCCCUGGUGCUUAUGUUAUAAUGUUAAUGUUAUUACUUGCCUUUGAGGGUACUAAUUAUUUACUUUGAGUAGUUUCAUAUAUUGACAUAAA
rnacentral:lncRNA from 1 species